CCCUCCACCUGCCCUUCCUUACACUCCUGUACCAUUUCGAAGUGUUUUGAGUAGAAUAGAAUAGAUUUAUUGUUCAUUCGACGAUGUAACAAAAGACAAUAAGACAUGUUUGCUGGGUUCGUGUACUACUUUCAGUAGCAGGAUACUGCGGGAGCAAACCACAAGAAAGUCAGAAGUUGAUUCGUGGGAAUCACCGGAUUCUAUUAUGAGAGUAUUGUUUCACAGUUAUGAGUAAGUCUAUAAUGAUGUGGCGACUCCGAGCAAAUUCCAAUAUUGUGUUCGAUUUGGAGUGGUGUUGUCUGUGAGCCUUUCUGUUAUGCGACUGUUAGUGCUGUUUUUUUGGUGCAGCUUCUCCUUUCUGCAAGAAAACGAUGGAUGGUUUAGAUCUCUGACAAACUCAUUGUAACUAUCACAAAAUGGCACUGCAUUGAUGUUGAUUUGAUACAGGUGGGACAUAAAACAUCCAUACCACAAUUCUUCUCAUGCAAAUCGUGGUGACGUUCGUCAUAAAUUGCGAUCGCUAAACCGGGUCUUGGUUGAGAUGGAUGUAUCUUUGGAGAAGAAGUCACAGUUGUAAAACUGAUAAUGUUGAAGUACCAGGUGCAGUUUCUGUACAGAAAUCUGAGCAGUUUUAACAUUCUUCAUUGUAAUGUGGAAUCUGUAGCUGUAAACUGGAUAUUGUGGAGAAUCUCAAGAACAUUGGAAUAUGCUAUCUUUAUUCAAUAAAUUGAAUGCACAAAGACCUUAUGAAAUACUUUGUUAUAGAUGUUGCCUGACUUGUAGAACACUGCUUGAAGUAGGUGGAGACAGACUUUUACUGUCUCAACCAAUACACCAUUUGUAAUGAAUACUGCUGAACAAGUACAAAUCACAGUGGAUGUGUGAGCUGUCUUCAAAAGGGAGUUAAUUUUGAAACUUUGGAGAAAGGGAGUGCUUUGUUGAUAUAUAUGGUAUGUGAAGUAUCAACAUUCAGGACAACAGAUUUAAAUGUCAGAGUUGUAGCUCACUGAUAAGUAAAAACAUGAGGCUACACAGCAGAUGAGACUGUUAGCAAGUAACGAGUAAGUUAUUGUCUGUAAGUUACAUGAAAGUAAUUGCAAAAAUAGAUGUAGAAUAAUUAUUUGUGCCAAUUUCAAUUUAAGGCUUUACGUUACAACAACUGAAGCAAUAAAGGCCACAAGCCAAAAGCGCAGUAGGGCACACAUUUCUCUGUAACAGCAAAUUUUUUUAAAAAUAUUAUUCCAGUACUCAGUAUUAAGAGAGGAAACAGUUCACUUACAUUUAAGAUAAUUCCUGAGACCUUCAAAAAUUUAUAGUGUAUCACAUUUGAUAGGAAACUUAGCACUAUGAAGGUAUAUAGUUAGCUGAAGAAAAAAUAUUCCAGUAAAUGUGGGCCAAAAAACAUGAUCUUUACUAGGUAACUACUCGUGUGGUUAUGAGCCACCAAUCAUUUCAAUAUGAAAUAUUGUCCUAGUUAGUAUAAAUGUAUUUGAAAUGGAAACUUUUUGACUAAGUCCCCAUCUAAUUGUGCUCAAAUUUCACCUCUGGCCUAUCUUACCUUGUGCAUUGCUGGUGAAUGUGGUACAUGCAUGAUGGGGCAUAGGAACAUUUUGCUACUCAUAUAACAUCUAAGGCAUCAAUAUGGUCAAAGAUGGAUAGGUCAAACACAGCCUUUACCUUGGCCUCCACGCUCACUAGACACUUUCCUUUGGAUUUUUCUAUCUGGGGUCAUCUCCAAAGUGAAGUUUAGAGGACUCCCACUGAUACUGUUGAAGAACUGGAGCAGCAAAUUGUACAGUCUUGUCAAUAUUUAUGAGGUAAUCUGGGGGCUGUUUGAAAGAAUUCAUAACUCACUGUACAGAUGAGUGCAGUAGAGCCUCCAGAUGUGAGGACGAUGUGAGGAAUUCUUAUUUUAAGAGGUAUUAGAGACCAGUAACUGUUAACAUGUAAUGUGCUGAAGUAGUAUUUUGUUUCUUGUCAAGGUAGGCCUUGGGUGAAAUUUGAGCCCAAGUAUAUUAGGAUAUAAGCAAAAAGUUUGAAUUUAAAAUACAUAUAUACUAACCUAGUACAAUAUUUCACAUUCAAGUCAGUGACUGUUUGUAAGCACACAUUCGCAAUUACCUCCCAAAUGGUUCAGUUGCCAUGCCAUGUUCACUGGAAUACUGUUUCUUCUACAAAUAUUAUCACAUAUUUUUACCCAUGUCAGUUUUUGCUACUAAUUGUUUUUCACCCUAUAUACAAAGUUUGCAGCCCUCUCAGUUUGGCACCCCAAGCAGCUGCUUGUGUCUCAGAUGUUAAAGUGGCCCUGAUGUUGUGUACAUUGUAAUGAUCAUAUCAUGAAAGGUUAACAGAAAAAUAAAAAAUAAAAUGUAAGUUAGAAGUUGAUCUAGUAACUUAGAUGGAAACAUGCAGUGCCAGUCGCUUUUGCCAAUUCAAUGUGAGAUCAUACACAUUAAAAAACUGCUGAUUUUAAGCUCACUGACUGUGAAUUGGACACAGACAGUGAUCCAGUCGCACACUGUCUGUAAGCAACCAGGCCACUGAAUGACAAGCACAGCAGAGUUCCAGCCAGCAGCAAAGUUUGACCUUGACAUCCAUUGAAACCAGUAUCUUGGAUGAUCAUCAGUUGGCAGCAGAAACUAUGUCAGAAUUGCACCCAAUUAAGCUUUUACACUAAAAAAUAACUUGUAAACUUUACCUGUGUGUACCUCUGGACUGUGAUUAGUGGUUUCCUUUGUACAUUUGCCCAUAUGUACCUUUAUCUGUUUGUCACUUGCAUUGUGACAUGUGGCUGAACCUAAGGGUUAGAUUAGAGUGAUAGAAACUGGCUCCUUUCAUGAUAUGUGGUCUCAAAUACCAUGCUUCACUGUGUGUCUCCUAUUCCAAAUUGAGUGUUAGGCUGGUGUGGUGACAUUUUUAGUAAGUGUGUGAGGUUUCAAGCCUUGUCUAUGUUUUACACAUAUGGGACCCAAAUGAUAACCCAAUGUCUGUAUUUUGUAGCAUGUUCGAGUGAAAACAUUUGAAGGAGCAUUAAAAGCAGACCAAAAGCCAACCCAUUGACCCAUUUUCUUAUUGCCACAAUAUCUACCUCCUUAGCCUGACAUCCAAGUCAUUUUGUACUACUUCCAACCACAGAGACCUGAAAAAUCUCAACUUGACCCUGUUGCCAUCUCACUCCUGCAUGUAGCCAUUUCACCACUUAAGAUGUGUCAUCUCAACCCCUAGGUCACUUUAUAAG